AGUCAGUGUCAUUGCUCACAAGAAGGUUUCAAUCCCUUACUCGGUGCCUGUCUCAGGCACUCCAUACAAAACAUUUAGUACACCAAGCUUUUCGCCUGCACCGCUCAUUAGUCCUGCAAGAGGAGAGAGAACUCCAUUUCUCCACAACAUCACCACCUCCAACAACAGCAACAAGCCUCCCCGUCGUGGCUUUGGAGUGAAAAGAGUCUUGACAAAUUAUCUUGGUGUUGAUACAAAACCAAAGAUCUGUGUCAAUUCAACUGAAGCAACAACGUGUCCUAAUCCAAAUACAGAAGGCACAGAAGGUCGAGAGAAUGAAAAUGGGACAGCUAAAUCAACAUCAAAAAGGUCCUAAACAUACUGUAGAUUAACUUAAAGCAAGUUCGCUAAGAGUUUGGUGGACAGAAAAGAAUGAAAUAUUAGUUUAAGAAUUAGGAUUUGUUUAUGGUAGAAGGACUCCCUGCUGUAACAAAUUAUUUGUUUGUUUGAAUUAUUGAUUCUUCCUAACUAUACAUUAAAUCAGCAUCUAAUUUAAAUGAAAUGCUUUUUAUGUUUUGUA
rnacentral:misc_RNA from 1 species